rnacentral:lncRNA from 10 species
CCCACCUAGCAGCUCCUAUGGUUGAAGGAACUUCAUCAAGACCUGUCAAGAACCACCAUGGACAGUUCCCAUGGCACGCCUUUGCUUCAGAGAGAAUCACCACGUUCUUGGGGAGUCACCGAUACAUGGUUAGCAGUGUUUCAGGAAACCCUGAAAUCACACUGGAAGAGUCUGUCAAGACAGAAGAGAGAGGAGGCGGUUCCAAGAUGGAGCUGGAGAACACCAAGACUAAAAGACACAGAGAAUGAGAACUGUGCUGGUCUCCAGGUUCAUCUGCUUUCUUAAACUAACCAUGAGCCAAGAAACAAGUGGAAGAGGCCAGAUGAAAGGGAAAAGAAGAGCUAACACCAUAUGAGCUCUUAGUAACGCCAGGUAUUGCUCUCAGCACUUUGCAUUCUUAUUCUUAUCAAUUUAUUGUAUUUAAUUCUCACAGCAGCCCUGCCAGUCAGAUGCUUUAUCCCAUUUAACAAAUGUGAAAACUGAGGCACAGAGGUUAGACAAUUCCCUUAUGGUCACAUAGUAAGUGGUAGAGCUGGGAUCCUGAUAUGGUUUGGCUGUGUCCACACCCAAAUCUCAUCUUGAAUUAUAGUUCCCAUAAUCCCCACAUGUCAUAGGAGGAACCCAGUGAGAGGUCAUAGAAUCAUGGGGGCAGUUACCCUCAUGCUGUUCUCAUGAUAGUGAGUUCUCCUGAGAUCUGAUGGUCUUAUAAGGGGCUUUUCCCCCUUUGCUCAACACUCAUUCUCUCUCCUGCCACCCGUGAGGAGGUGCCUUCUGUCAUGAUUGUAAGUUUCCUGAGGCCUCCCUAGCCAUGUGGAACUAUGAGUCAAUUAAACCUCU